rnacentral:lncRNA from 1 species
AAACAUAACUUAUACUUAAAAACUUUUACGUAAAAGGAUUAUGAAGUAGGGAUUACAAGGAAGAACCCAGGCAAAGCACAAUUCUAAUCCACAAAUUAAUACAUGUCCACAGCUAUACUAUUACAACAGGUUAUACUAGUAACUCAGCUGACUUUCCGAGCUAACUUUGAUCCUGCAAACCUGAGGUUAAGGGAAAGAGGAUAAGCUACAAGAGCCUAGUAAGCAGAACAUAAAAAAAAAACAGUUCAAUAAAACAUAUGAUCGUAUGAAUGCAUCACAACACAAAUAAUUCACAUCAAGAUGGACUUAUCACCAGUAACCCUCUAUAGAUUCCAAUAGUGUCCAGCCCACGACGGGUGCUCCUUAGGACUUCAUCUUAAACAUAACAUAACAUAUCCAUAGUGCUAGAGGCGUAGAAUGGACCUUGACCUGAACUCUCUCUUACAUAUUGCCAGGGGCGUAGAAUGGGUCUCGACUUGGACUUCUAUAUCCAUCAUAACAUAUCAUAACAUACUCGAUGGCUAGUGGGUCAUCCAACAUCCAUCCACAAUAAUAAUAAAUUAUGCAAUGCAUCAUAUUCGUGAACUCUAAUGCAAAAUAACCUAAUUACAUAUAUUAUGCAGUUAUCUCACUGCAAGCCUCUACAGUUUUUCAAGUCCGAUUCUACACAGAUAGAAUUAAAUGAGGGACCAAACAUAACUUUUACAAUACUUAAAAUAACCCCCAAGAAACCCUUAAGAACACACAAGAACACUCGUAGGAAACAAGCAGAAAAAGGCUAAACAUAGGACUUUUGGCAGCCUAAAGUCCCUUAUAGAUUCGAAGGUCAAAACCUUCAGAGGCAGGUUAGGCGGCCAAAUGGCUGCUUCCACAAGCAAGUUUGGUGGUCGAAUCUUGCUUCGGCAGUCAAACCUAGGUUCUCCAGCAAGGCAGAACCUGAUUCUGCCUCAAAUCACAGCCACCAAAACUCCAUAAAAAUCACAUGCGACAACCCAAAAACCAAUGUACACACUCAACACACAUAAGGGACACUUAAAACUAAUUUAAACCUCAACAUGCAUCAACAAUAAUGCAAGAGAAAUCAUCCAUUAACCCAAAAAUCAGAAAUUUAAAUUUAAAGCAUAAAAGGGCUUGCACGUAACAUCAAGCCAUAGCAAAGCUGAUGUCGCUUUUAACAACUCCAAAUAACAGAAGAGAGGUGAGGAUCAGACUUACCUCUACCUGGAAACACCAACACAGUGACCAUGAAGAGAAAUUUGGGGGAGAAGAGGGGAUGAGCUCCAAGGAUUUCAAAGAGCUUCAACUUAAAAGGAUGACUUCGAUUCUUCAAAACCACAAUUAAAAUCCAUGAGAGGGCUGCUUUAAAUGAGGUUUUGAGAGGACAAGGGCACGGGACUCACCUCUGCUCGAAAUGGAGAGAAAGUUCUCUCCAUUUCGAAUAGAGCUCAUUUUCUUCGUCAGCCGAAGAAG